UAGUCACUCAAGGAGGUUACAACACCUUCUCAAGAUUGGCAGCCAUGUCUGGAGCUUUAUCUGUCUUUUUUUUCACGGUGUUCGUGAGGCCUAUAUCUGUGGAUUACAGGCUAUUGCAUUUGCUUUGUGGCUUCGGGUACCGAUUUUUAUAUAAUGAGACACAAAUUUCGACAUUUGUGGUUUGCUCCGUUAUCUGCACCCUUCUCAUAGUCGUUAGGCUCAACCUUGAUAUUUUUGCCCGAGAUGCGAUAACUGCUGCUGCGGAUUCCGUUAUGGUGGUACUGGUCCAGAUUCAGGUCUUGCUGCUUUUGCUGAGGUUCGGGGGAUUCCUCUACUAGUGGUGAUACUGUUGUGCAUUCGGGUUUUGCUGCUGAUGAGGUGCGUCUUUUACCUUCUCAUUCUGAUACUGAUGUUUUCGAGGAUAUGGUGGUUGCUGGUGAGGUCCAUCUUCUUGCUCCCCUUGCAGAUAUUGAUCUUUCUCUUCCCGAUAUUGAUCUUGAGAUUCCUCGUGGAUUUGUUGGUGACAAGAUUCGUUGGUCUGAGGGUGAUGACUUCUAGAGAUGACAUAUGACAUUUCAUUCUUUUGAGAGAGCUAGCUAGCUAUAGUCAAUCCUUAGGUUUUUGUGCUUCUUUCUAGGUUUCAAGUAGUUCAUCUAUAUGUCGGGCUUUAAUGUAAUUAAAUGAUGCCUCUAGGUGAGAAUUGAUAUCUGGCUUUAAGUCGGGCAUAAGGCUGGCAACGGAUCGGAACUGGUACCGGAACUUUCGUAGCGAUUUUGCUUCCAGAAUUGGUCUUACCGAAAUUUUUUAGUUGUUCGCACCGGUCCGCUUGCUAUCGGUGUGGACCGGAGCGAUACCGGAAUUACUGGAAAUAAAAAGUAUGUGAACAGCUGCAAUGAAAAUUUAACUGCAGCAACAGUACUUAUUCGCUGUUGUGGUAACACAGAAAAAUUUUUCUUUUAAAAAAACCAAAAAGCAUUUCCAUUCUCUACUCUUUUGAAAAAAAAUGCAAUAAGGCCCAGGGGAAGGCAACUUUCAAAGGGUUGUGGAUUGUUUCAUCUUUGGGGGUUGGUAAUUACAUUUCUUAAAUUUACUUUAUUUAACCUUAGAAAAUCACUAGAAAUGAAUUAGUGGUGGAUUUUGGGGUUUAACCUUAGUUUGUGAAAAUUGAUGAGAAGUGACGAGAUUGUUUAUAAAUUUAGUAUGUAAUGAUUCUAGGGUAUUAGAAAACACCAAUGGGACUAGAAUUUUUCCUUGUUUACGCUAAUUCAAGUAAAAUCCAUGAGGUUUAAGAGAUAUAAAAUCCUAAUAUGAUGAAAUAGGAUGAGUUUAUGGCUAAAAUUGAUGAUUUUUGAUUCCUAAUAGUUAAAAAGGGAAUAAUUAUUGAAAUGAAUGUAUAUUAUUGUCGUUAUAGAUUAAGAACGAGAUCAAAAGGCAAAAGUAUCGCUUAAAGGUGACUUUGAGCAAAAAAUUGAGGUAGUAUGGUUUUGUUAUAGAACUUAGACUCUCUUGGCUUUGUGCUUGUCUGUGAACGUGAAUCUAUAAUUGCCUUCUGGACUGACUUGUGAUUUAAUUACUGCAUUGCAUUUUUAUUUGCACUAUGCUGAUAUGUUGAGAUGAUGGAUCGGGUACCACGCUAAUAGGGUGGUGAUCUUUUGUGAGAAUAGGUCGGGUACCAUGCUGCUAUGAAUAUAAUAUGCUAUGAUAAUGGGUCGGGUACCACAUUGGUAUGAUAUGAUAUUGAUAAUGAGGUUGAGGGGGGGAAAAGAUGAUGUACACAUCUUGCAUACAUGCCUUCACAUAUAUGCAUUGGGGGUGCCUUAUGAUGAUUAUACAAUAAUGAUGAGUUGAUGAAAAUGACUAAGUAGAAAAGUCUGUAAAAGUAAACUUGUGAGUUUUAAUUGUAUGAUGAUAUAUAAUGUGUGUAAUCGAAUGAUAUCAUUAGUUAUAAGUCCAGUUGUGAUUGCUUUUAUACUUAUUUGGUUUUCUUACUUGUACAUUGUGGAGUUAGCUUGCCUAUGAUGCUUAUCAUUACUUGUUAAUGUACUGAUGCUACCCGUACUUUUUUUCUUGAGUGUAGAACAUCUUCUAGAAGUUGACAUAUGAGCUCAACUCUAGUUAGCAGUUCAGAACCAAUUUUGAGGGUGAGCACCAUGUCCGGGAAACCUUCAGAUCUUCUUAUAAUGUUGAUAUCUCUUGUUUCAUAACUAAUAUGAUUCUUUUUUGUUAUGUAUUAGAUGUUGUUAGUUUUUUGUGGCUUAGCUUAUUCUUAGAUUUUCUUGUAUGGUAUCUUCAAGUCUUGGAAAUGUAAUAAGUAGAGGUUUUCAUACUCUAUUGUUUUGAAUAUUGGUGUUGACUGAUGGGUGACUUAAAUUAUUGAAUAACUUCUAUUUUACAUUUGAUUAACUCUAGAAAUUGAUAUAAGUGAAUAUAAGAGUAACACCUGAUUUAGUAAUAGUGAGAUUAGUAUGGUUCUCCAGCCAUAGGUUAGGGUGGGUACCAAUCAUUAAUGGUUAGGUCGUGAUAGCGAACCAUAGUAUUCACUUAGUUAGUCAAGAUUCUCACAAAAUUUAAUCCAUUCCAUACCACGAAUAUCACAUCAAUGGGGUACAACAACAGUUAGCCACAUUAUUAAAUCCUAAUUUAGUUUUUAUAAUUUUUGUCUUUUCAAACACUAUGCUCGAAGGUCUAAUACACGAGGACUCCCGAACUUACUAUUAAUAUUAUACUAAUAUAGCCCAAGUCUAAUUACUACAAUAAAUAAACCAUAAAAUACCUUGUAUAUGAAACAUAAUGCUAUUGGGUAGAGAGAGUUGUCCUGUGAAUGCUCAGUGUCAUCCCAUGUCAUGUUCCUACUAGGUGUGCCUCAAAAUCACUCUUAUGAAGCCAGGACUUUGAAAUCUCAUGACUAUGGAAGUGGUGUUUGUUCUGGGUGUUUUUUUUUAGGGAUAAGGGAAGUUGGGAAGGGUUAAAACAAAAGAGGGUUUUAAAAUAUCUCAGGCUAGUUACUAUUGGGUUUCAUAGCAGUGGUUAUUUUACCACUGUAGUUAUUAACUUACCACUGUAGCAUAGGUUGUAGACCAACCUAAUUCUUUUUGUGGGCCUUUUUCUUUGAGCCUCAUUUUUAUUCAUGAAAUAGUUUGCUUUUUAAUAGUCACAAAAUUUUUCUGAGGUGUUUCAUAUGUAAAGUUAUUUUGGAUAAUUAUAUUGUAUACCAAUUUAUCCUCUGUUCAUCCCCUACCGACUAUAGAUAAGGAAUAAAGAGUCUUUGGAACGACUAUACAAGGAAAUUUUAUUUAUGAUCCAUUAAAAAGGAUGAUAAUCUUAAUUCUUCACUAGUUUGCAUUGGCCUACUGAUGUGCUAUAGAAAUAUAACACUUUCGAUGCUUAAAAUGAGGAAAAUAUGCAAAUUUUUGAGGUUAUUUUGUUAGAUAUGAUGACUUUUGGUUAUGUUUUGUAG
rnacentral:lncRNA from 1 species